GAAGACCCUUACCAGAAAGCGUACGUGCAAGAACAAGUAAACCUGCGGCACGCUGGAAGAAUGAAGGCUGCCUUUUGUGUGAUAGGCCUACUUGCAGCACUUCACCUACCUUUACUGGCAUACUGCUUCGAAGACUUUUCGGGUGCUGGUGUGGAAACAGAAGACCACCAUAUUGGUUCCAUGAAAGAAGUCGUGCCAACACCGACUAACGCACACUCAUCAUGGCUCCCCCGUUGGCGCCGAAUGCCCAGUGCCGAAGAAAUAGCCGAAACUUACCAUAGAAUGAAAGAAGCACUGAGGGACGCCAUUAGUGCAUUUCGCGGUCGGGUUAGCACAAUAUUUCACUGAGAAACCUAAAACUUCUACCAACAAAUAAACAAUAUUUCGGGUGAUA